UACGGAGGGUGCAAGCGUUAUCCGGAUUCACUGGGUUUAAAGGGUGCGUAGGCGGGCAGGUAAGUCAGUGGUGAAAUCUCCGAGCUUAACUCGGAAACUGCCGUUGAUACUAUUUGUCUUGAAUAUUGUGGAGGUAAGCGGAAUAUGUCAUGUAGCGGUGAAAUGCUUAGAUAUGACAUAGAACACCAAUUGCGAAGGCAGCUGGCUACACAAAUAUUGACACUGAGGCACGAAAGCGUGGGGAUCAAACAGG
rnacentral:rRNA from 1 species